CGAACGGGUGAGUAACGCGUGAGGAACCUGCCUCAAAGAGGGGGACAACAGUUGGAAACGACUGCUAAUACCGCAUAAGCCCACGGCUCGGCAUCGAGCAGAGGGAAAAGGAGCAAUCCGCUUUGAGAUGGCCUCGCGUCCGAUUAGCUAGUUGGUGAGGUAACGGCCCACCAAGACUACGAUGGAUAGGGGUUCUGAGAGGAAGGUCCCCCACAUUGGAACUGAGACACGGUCCAA
rnacentral:rRNA from 1 species